AUACUUACCUGGGCGGGGUAUACAGGCGAUCAGGAAGGCCUGUUGCCUGGGCUGAUGGGCUCCAUUGCACGUAGGAGGGCUAUAUGCCUAAGGUCGGCCCAAGCGGUCGAGCCUACGCCAUAAUUUGUACGAGGGGGGGCAUGCGUUCGCGCGGCCCCUA